AAUUGAACACAUUUUCGUGUGGGCGGAUUGAGAAAGAACCCGCCUGCCGGAUUUCAGCUGCUCUCUCCAAUCUCGCACCUGCCUGUGGCCGAGGCGGUAGACGGGGUACAGCAGAGCCGGUUAGAUCUGCUGAGGACCAGUUUUAGGUCUGCACUGCUGUCCUCCAAAGCGUUCUUUCCCAGCAUUCCAAAGAGAAGUUAAUACAAGAGCAAGGAUGAGAGCUUGUAAACCUCCAGGAAAACAGGAAGACAUGGCUUUAAGAAAAAUAAACAAUACUGCUUCUUUGA